UGGGGAAUAUUGCACAAUGGGCGCAAGCCUGAUGCAGCCAUGCCGCGUGUAUGAAGAAGGCCUUCGGGUUGUAAAGUACUUUCAGUCGGGAGGAAGGUGUCAAGGUUAAUAACCUUGGCAAUUGACGUUACCGACAGAAGAAGCACCGGCUAACUCCGUGCCAGCAGCCGCGGUAAUACGGAGGGUGCAAGCGUUAAUCGGAAUUACUGGGCGUAAAGCGCACGCAGGCGGUUGAUUGAGUCAGAUGUGAAAUCCCCGGGCUUAACCCGGGAAUUGCAUCUGAUACUGGUCAGCUGGAGUCUCGUAGAGGGGGGUAGAAUUCCAGGUGUAGCGGUGAAAUGCGUAGAGAUCUGGAGGAAUACCGGUGGCGAAGGCGGCCCCCUGGACGAAGACUGACGCUCAGGUGCGAAAGCGUGGGGAGCAAACAGG
rnacentral:rRNA from 1 species